UCUCUGAGAAUUGGGGUAGGCCAUAAAUCCCGGACGAGCCCCCACAUGUAAGAUCCCCGAAGCUUAGUCUCUGCUCAAGUCCCGGGAUGAGCUGGCUAGCACCCCAAUGACUCAAGAGAAA
rnacentral:pre_miRNA from 7 species